GACGAAGCGUGCGAACGUUGUUCGGAAUCACUGGGCUUAAAGGGCGCGUAGGCGGGCUGUCAAGUCUGGGGUGAAAUCCCACGGCUCAACCGUGGAACUGCCUCGGAUACUGACGGCCUCGAGGGAGGUAGGGGCGUGCGGAACUGUGGGUGGAGCGGUGAAAUGCGUAGAUAUCGCGUGGAACGCCAAUGGUGAAAACAGCUUGCUGGGGGUGUGCUGACGCUGAGACACGAAAGCCAGGGGAGCAAACGGG
rnacentral:rRNA from 1 species